UUCUUCCGCAUAGGCGCGCCCCCUCCACUUCGUCUUCUCCACCAAGCACGGCAGCGCACUAUAUUCCUCCCUCCCCCCUGAACUCGUGAAGGGUUCCGCAUCCCAACCUCCUGUAUUCCCUACCGCAGCCUCUCUUCCUCUUCACCUUCUCCACAGAUUCAUGCCCACGCUACUGCUCGAGAGUCGUCGAUUUCUUCCUCCCAUAAUCAUUGACCUUCAUGGUAGGGCGAAUUUGAAGCCUCGGUUGCUGAUGCCCUUCGCUUGCUGGUGUUGUGCCUGUUUGCAGCGGCACACCUGCAGCUCCCGGUGUCGCCUGCCCUCUCUGUCCCAGGUCCCCCGGCAGCCUCUUCCUCAUGGCAUCCAUCGACUCAUCCCCCGCCCAUCCAAUUUUUACAGGGUAUUGUGUUAUAACUAAAAGUGAAACCAACAUGUAUGUCUUUGCAUCGAAGGCAGUCAACUCCUACCAAAGAGGCAAAAACCACAGAGAGGGGAGCUCCUGAUCUACAUCCACGUCAUAGUUUGAUUUUCUUUAAUGUUACAUUUGUUUGUGUCGUUGUUGAAGACAUCAUCUCAUGUAAAAAUAAAAGUUACACGACUCUACCCCUGAUCUGGUGUGGCAGGGGUAUUGUCAUUGAUUUGGGCACGAGGGUUCCCAGGAAGGCAAAGACCGGAAUAAGCGGCAUAACAGGACAACAUGUAAUAUCCAUAUCAAACGGAGUCCAAACGGGAUAAAAACGGACGGAGCUUAUUUUUGGAAU